AGGGCUGAAAUCCUCUCCAGAUCCCCGGGAUUAAAUUCUCAGCAGGACCUCCCUAUGCUGUGGUGCUAAGGAGUGCGUUCAGAUUACCUGGGAAAGGAGGCCAACCCCCGUCCUGCUUGCAGAAGGGUAGCACUCUUGAAUAGAAUAAAGCCCUGAGCAUUGGGUGAAAUCGCUGUGGGUUUGUGCCCACAUAAUGCAGAGGUACCAACACCCCUCAGUGCCUGGGCUGGCAGAUUUUCCUGAGGACGGGAAGUGUGGUGGUUGGUAGAGGAUGGACUCUGUUGUCUUCCAGGU